rnacentral:lncRNA from 1 species
AUCACAUUAGGGGUUUGACAUAAUAUUUCCAUACCCUAGUAAUGUGAUUGAGAGUAUUGUUUUAGAGAAUGAUCGAAUUACAUUGUAAUUCCAACUGAAUAGGUUCUCCGAACAAACUUCUACAUUAGCUUGGGUAGCCAUGAUAUAUGGUUAGAUGUCACUCAUGGCUUGUGACUUCUUCUAAAUGAUUAAAUGUAGUCGUCAGAGAAGAAGGUGAAUUAAAAGUAUGUUUUAAUUCACUAAGUGAUUGGAUUAAAUAUAAUCAAUUGGAUUGGUGCCAAUCACCUCACUGCCUUGCUAAUUAGAACCUAAAAGAUUGUUCACCAAUACACUAUUGUAGUGAGUAACUGAUGGAUGAUGGAAAUAAUUAAUUGGAUUAAUUAAGUGUUGUGAUUAAUUUAGAAAGUCCAAAGAAAUCAUAAAAGCGAUAAAGAUCGUUUUGGGCUUAAAGAAACGUUCGGGUUUAAUUGGGCCCAUUGGGCCUAAACCUAUUGGGCUUUUAUUCAAGCAUUGGAUGACUUGAAAUAUAUAAAAGCCCAAAGCCCAAAUCCAACACAAG